UAUAAGGAGUCCUAGGUGAGAGGCAUGGAGGGAGAGAACUUUUUUCACAGCAAACUUAGCAUUUAGAGCAAUUUAGGCAAUUUUCCGUUUAUGGUACUCGAGUUGCGACUCAAUUAGGUUUUUGCCGUCUUAUGGUUUUAGUUUGGAGUAGGACGUUGGCUAGUAACUUAGGCCAUCAAACUUCCUUGAUGGUAAUGCUCAGAUGCACUCGCGCUCGGUGGGGAAGGAUUUGUGGCUUGAUUGGAGAUGUAUGACCUUUGUUUCCGAUGACAUGGAAGUGAAAAAUC
rnacentral:lncRNA from 1 species